rnacentral:rRNA from 1 species
UUGGAGGGCAAGUCUGGUGCCAGCAGCCGCGGUAAUUCCAGCUCCAAUAGCGUAUAUUAAAGUUGUUGCAGUUAAAAAGCUCGUAGUUGAAUUUCGGGAUCAAUAUAUCGGUCGUGCCUUCGGUACGUACUGGUAUCAUUGGUUUCUCCUUUCUGACGAACCAUGAUGUCAUUAAUUUGGUGUUAUGGGGAGUUAGGACUGUUACUUUGAAAAAAUUAGAGUGUUUAAAGCAGGCUUUAGCUUGAAUACAUUAGCAUGGAAUAAUGAAAUAGGACGUUCGAACCUAUUUUGUUGGUUUCUAGGAUCAACGUAAUGAUUAAUAGGGAUAGUUGGGGGCAUUAGUAUUCAAUUGUUAGAGGUGAAAUUCUUGGAUUUAUUGAAGACUAACUACUGCGAAAGCAUUUGCCAAGGAUGUUUUCAUUAAUCAAGAACGAAAGUUAGGGGAUCGAAGACGAUCAGAUACCGUCGUAGUCUUAACCAUAAACUAUGCCGACUAGGGAUCGGAUGAUGUAAUUUUUUAAUGACUCAUCCGGCGCCUUACGGGAAACCAAAGUGUUUGGGUUC